AUAGGUUUUGUUACUUUUAGUUUUCAAAGUUCAAAAAUAUAAACUCUCUAAAGUGCAUAACUGUACUUACAUUUCAUAGAAACUAUCUGAAAUUCUAGCAAUAUACCGUGUAAACAGCAGUAACUAAGCAUCAGAAAAUGCUACAAUCUCAUCAGUUUUAAAGUAAAAGGGACUGUUCCCUACAUAUCAUUUAUCAAGAUUUGUCAGGGGAAAAACCCAGCUGUUGGGGGUGUCUCAGGUUGCAAUGCAAGAUGUAACCAAAAGUGUCUAUGCUGUAACCAACUGUUAAAACCAGGUGGGGCAGUGUUCUUUAUCUCUUCCAAGACCCAUUCCCCCUCCAGGGGUAUGUUCUGUUAAUGGCCCAUUGAGCCUUAGGGCGUGACUGAGAAAAUCACAUCCUCCCACUGUGAGAUGCUCCACCCAGGGGGAGGAGCCAAGCAUUCCUGCCUGGAUAUAAUCUGAUAUUUGGAUCACUACAAGCAGCCUUUUCCACUGGAUUCCCAGAGUAAGACCAAGCUACACCACUACUGGACCUUCAGAGGAAAACACAAGAUCACUGCUUGAACAGAACCACAUCUGUCACUCCAGGAGGAUUGCAGCCACCAUUCCAAUUGGACUGCUACUAACACCCUGACCCACAGGGUGUCAGGUUGUAUUCUGACACUGUCAGUGCUUUUGUACUCCUGCGUUCUAUUUUAAUUUUCCUAGUAAAUUGUGGUUCUGACUUGGGGUCUCCCACUGGUUUGCUUUCAAACGAUCACAGGGGAUUUGGUUUCUUUCCUUUUGUUCAUUUUUACUUACAGAAUUUUUUCCACAUAAGUUCCUAGGAAACAUUAAGGACUGGGUUCUUCAGAAGAACAGGGUACUUAAGGAGAACAAAAGACUUGGCCAGGUUUAGGGGAGGAGAGCAUCUGGUUGCACAUCUGUUAUCUGGAAGUUUCUCUUUGAGGGGCAGAGAUUGGGCAGGUAAAGGGUGAGGCUGGGGCAGCUGCUGGCUCGGGGCUUUAGAGGGUGGUCGGAGUUGCUGUUUGGAGAAGGGAGUUAGCUCUUGCUGCUGCUUCUGCUGCCACUUUCCUGGCUACCUCUCCCAGCUCUGCUCUGGUCUGCCUUCCAUCCCGCCUCACCACCACCGUCAUGGACAACAAGAGGAAGCCAUUCCUGGGCAUGCCCGCGCCCCUGGGCUACCUGUCAGGUCUGGGCCAUGGAGCCACGGGUUUCACCACCCGCUCUGAUAUUGGCCUGCCCGUGAUGCCAACGACCCCGUGGGUGACUGGCACGCCCCACUGAGCAAGAGAACUCAGGGAGAGCAGAUGGAGAAGAACCAGAGGACAGCAGAUGAUGAUGAUGGGGAUUUGAAUGACACCAACUACAAUGAGUUCAAUGGCUAUGCUGGGAGCCUGUUCUCAAGCGUCCCCUACGAAAAAGAUGAUGAAGCAGAUGCUGUUUACGCAGCUUUGGAUAAGAGGAUGGAUGAACACAGGAAAGAAAGGAGGGAACAACGAGAAAAAUAGGAAAUAGAAAAGUACCAUAUGGAACGACCCAAAAUACAACAGCAGUUCUCAGACUUGAAACAGAAAUUAGUGGAAGUCACUGAGGAGGAGUGGCUGAGUAUUCCCAAGGUUGGGGAUGCAGAGGAAUCCUUGUUAUGAGAAGUUGACUCCUGUCCCCAACAGCUUCUUUGCAAAGCAUUUGCAGUCAGGGGUGAGUCACACUUCCGUGGACCUACGCCAGACACAAUUUGGUGGACUGAAUACUCCAUAUCCAGGGGGUUUGAAUACUCCGUACCCAGGAGGAAUGACGCCAGGCUUGAUGAGACCUGGGACAGGUGAAUUGGAUAUGAGGAAAUUGGCCAAGGCAGGAACAUCUUGAUGGGUAUGAGGCUAAGUCAGGUGUCAGACUCUGAGAGUGGCCAGACUGUAGUGGACCCAAAAGAAUAUCUGACGGACUUGAAUUCCAUGAUUCCUACACACGGAGGAGAUAUCGAUGAUAUCAAAAAAGCCCAUUUGCUCCUGAAAUCUGUCCGAGAGACCAAUCCUCAUCAUCCACCAGCCUGGAUAGCAUCAGCCCCACUGGAGGAGGUCACUGGCAAACUCCAGGUGGCUCGAAACCUCAUAAUGAAAGGAGCAGAGAUGUGCCCCAAAAGUGAAGAUGUUUGGUUGGAAGCUGCUUGGCUUCAGCCAGGAGAUACAGCCAAGGCUGUUGUGGCACGGGCUGUGCAGCACUUGUCAUGGUCUGUGCGGAUCUAUAUCAGGGCAGCAGAGCUGGAGACAGCUAUCCAUGCCAAGAAGCAUGUCCUUAGGAAAGCCCUCAAGCAUGUUCCAAACUCAGCGCAUUUGCAGAGCAUCUGUGGAGCUGGAGGAACCUGAGGAUGCCAGGAUCGUGCUGAGCCAGGCUGUGGAGUGCUGUCCAACCAGUGUUGAACUGUGUCUGGCACUGGCAAGGCUGGAGACGUAUGAGAACACUCGUGAAGUCCUUAACAAAGCCCGGGAGAAUAUCCCAACGGAUUGUCCUAUCUGGAUUACUGCUGCCAAACUGGAAGAAGCCAAUGGAAAUACCCAGAUGGUGGAGAAAAUCAUUGACAGAGCCAUCACAUCUCUUAGGGCUAAUGGUGUGGAGAUCAACAGGGAGCGGUGGAUACAGGAUGCCAAGGAAUGUGAUAAAGCUGGAAGUGUGGCCACAUGCCAGGCAAUCAUGAGAGCUGUGAUCGGGAUUGGGGUCCACGAAGAAGAUCAGAAACACAUCUGGAUGGAAGAUGCAGACAGUUGUGUUGCUCAUAAUGCCCAGGAGUGUGCCUGAGCCAUUUAUGCCUAUGCCUUGCAAGUCUUCCUGAGCAAGAAGAGUGUGUGGCUGCGAGCAGCCUACUUUGAAAAGAACCAUGGAACCAGGGGAUCCUUGGAGGCGAAUUUGCAGAGCUGUUGCUCACUGUCCCAAAGCAGAGGUGCUGUGGCUCAUGGGGGCCAAAUCCAAGUGGCUGGCAGGAGAUGUGCCAGCAGCCAGAAGCAUCUUGGCCCUGGCCUUCCAGGCCAACCCCAGCAGCGAGGAGAUCUGACUGGCUGCUGUGAAGCUCGAGUCGGAGAACUGUGAGUAUGAAAGAGUGAGGAGGCUGCUGGCAAAGGCUCGCAGCAGUGCCCCCACAGCAAGGGUCUUCAUGAAUUCUGUGAAGUUGGAAUGGAUGCUUGGGAACAUUGCUGCAGCCCAGGAGCGCUGUGAGGAAGCCCUGAAGCACUAUGACAUCUUCCCCAAACUGUGGAUGAUGAAAGGACAAAUUGAAGAACAAAAAGAGCUGGUAGAGAAAGCACAGGAGGUUUAUAAUCAAGGGUUGAAGAAGUGCCCCCAUUUCCAUACCCCUGUGGCUUUUGCUGUCCAGGCUGGAGGAGAAAGUUGGGCAUCUGACUAGUGCAACAGCUGUCUUGGAAAAGUCUCACCUGAGGAAUCCAAAGAAUCCAGACCUCUGGUUGGAGUCUGUGCACUUGGAGUACCGAGCUGGGCUGAAGAACGUAGCCAACAGUCUGAUGGCCAAGGCCCUGCAAGAGUGCCCCAAUCCUGUGGUCAGAAGCAAUUUUCCUCGAAGUGCGACUGCAACAAAGGACCAGGAGUGUGGAUGCUCUCAAGAAGUGUGAACAUGACCCAUAUGUCUUGCUGGCUGUGGCCAAGCUGUUCUCGAGUGAGCAUAAAAUAACCAAGGCCAGGGAGUGGUACUACUGCACAGUGAAGGUAGACUCUGACCUGGGGGAUGCCUGGGCCUUCUUUUACAAAUUUGAGCUCCAGCAUGGCACAAAGGAACAACAAAAAGAGGUGAGGAAGUGCUGUGAGAAUGCUGAAUCUCACCACAGAGAGCUCUGGUGUGGUGUCUCCAAGGACAUAGAGAACUGGCAGAAAAUGAUUGGAGAGAUUCUUGUGCUUGUGGCAGCCAAGCUGAAAAAUAUAUUCUAGAGUGUGCUGGCCUCUGCUGCCUCAGAGGUCUCUGUAGGACUUAACCUGCCCUUUCAGUGACACAGAUUUUGAAGGACAGUGUUGGGGGAUAGGUUUCUUUGCUUUUGUUCCUUUUUAUUUACAGAAUCUUUUCGCAUAAGUUUUAGGAAACAUUACCAACUGUGUACUUAAGAAAAACAAAGUAAGUGGCCAAGCUCAGGGGAGAAGGGCAUCUGGUUGCCUUUCUCUUAUCUGGGAGUUUCUCUCCUAGGGGAGAGAUACUGUGAGAAUUGGGCAGGUGAAGGGCAGGGCUGGGGCUGUUGUUUUUUUUUUUUUUUUUUUGGCUUCAGAGGAGAACAGUUGGAGCUGCUGCUUGUGAAAGGGAAUUUGCUGCUGCCGCUGGAGCCCAGCCCAGAGCUGCUUCUGCCAUGGGGUGAGUCUCUGCUCGUGAGGACAGUCACUGAAGUGGGACCUUAUUAACACUUACCUCACUAAAAGAAGGACCUAUCCCCAUCUGCUCAGGUGCCCAGGAUCCUGAGCUUGCCCCUCUCUGCCCUGCUGGGAGCCGGGCUCCUCUGUCCCACCCUCGCUGCUUCUUUGGCACUGCUCUGAGCUUUCACUGCACUGCAGCCCCGCAGCCCCUGCCUGCCCAUACAUCCCGUUGUUCCAGCCACAGCUCCAGAAUAUCUUAUGGUAGAUCUCCUCCACCACCCUGGGAUUUUUGCUCAUUCCUGAUGGCCCAGCCUGCUGCUUUUCAAAGUCCUACUGGGGCACUAGGACCUGCUGCCCCAGGGGUUUCUGAAGGCUUCUCUUAAUAGCAUUUUUUUAUUCAAUCUGUCAGCCCAGUUAAGACACCCCAAGGAUCAGAGGAGAUCCCAUCGCAGGAGAUGGGAACUCAGCACUUCUGAAAAGCCAAGCCCUAGGUCACCACACAAGUCCUCUGGAUUGUUUAGAAAUACAAAAAAUUCAGUCUUUGCUGGUUUUAUAUGGAACGGGCAAUUCUGCAAUUAAUAAAAAACCAAACCCAGCCAUGAGUCCCCAUCCCAAGUGCUUUCACUAGCACAUCUCUGCAUUACCCCAUGUCCUGGGGUGACUUUAUGAUGCUUGUAUCCCCAAUGAUCUGUUCUGUUUAUGAAGCUGGGUAUGAAGUUCUACACCUUUAAGGCUGGUUCUGAGAGUGAAGGCGGUGGCAGAAGACACACAGAGUUUGUUAUCAGAAGCUGCACUGGCUGCCCCUGUGCUGGCUGCAGAACAGAUGGGGGACAGAGCUCUCUUUUGCUUUUAGUUAGUUUUAGCUAGCUGAAGCAAAGAAGUUCCAUGGACUGUGGUUUUUCCUUUUCUUGGAACUGUUCAAAACUGCUUUGGACCAAAAUCUCAGAAGAACACCGGGAGUUCAUGCCUGUGGCCCACCGAAGCUGGGACGCUGCACUCCAGCGCCAGAAGGACUGAGAGACACACAGCGAGCUGAACUACACCCCACAAAAAUGACUUUCUGAAUUUGCCAUCACUUCAGAACAACAAGAGGUUUUAUUGUUUGGUAUUGUUCAUUUUUUUAUGUUUGUUGGUGCUUUGCUUAUUAAAUAAACAGGUUUUUUCCACUUUUCUCCAAGGAAAUCUUUUCCCAAACCAGUUGGGGCAAUUUGCCCUAAACCAGGACACCCACUCUGACUAGCAAAGGGCACAUGCAGCCCAUGACCACCUUUGGAAGAGUUCAAGGGAUCCUGAAGAGACCAAAAUAGAAGCAAUUUUGGCAAGAACACACACAGCACA